rnacentral:rRNA from 1 species
GGAAGUAAAAGUCGUAACAUGGUUUCCGUAGGUGAACCUGCGGAAGGAUCAUUACCGAGUGCGGGUCCUUUGGGCCCAACCUCCCAUCCGUGUCUAUUGUACCCUGUUGCUUCGGCGGGCCCGCCGCUUGUCGGCCGCCGGGGGGGCGCCUCUGCCCCCCGGGCCCGUGCCCGCCGGAGACCCCAACACGAACACUGUCUGAAAGCGUGCAGUCUGAGUUGAUUGAAUGCAAUCAGUUAAAACUUUCAACAAUGGAUCUCUUGGUUCCGGCAUCGAUGAAGAACGCAGCGAAAUGCGAUAACUAAUGUGAAUUGCAGAAUUCAGUGAAUCAUCGAGUCUUUGAACGCACAUUGCGCCCCCUGGUAUUCCGGGGGGCAUGCCUGUCCGAGCGUCAUUGCUGCCCUCAAGCCCGGCUUGUGUGUUGGGUCGCCGUCCCCCUCUCCGGGGGGACGGGCCCGAAAGGCAGCGGCGGCACCGCGUCCGAUCCUCGAGCGUAUGGGGCUUUGUCACAUGCUCUGUAGGAUUGGCCGGCGCCUGCCGACGUUUUCCAACCAUUCUUUCCAGGUUGACCUCGGAUCAGGUAGGGAUACCCGCUGAACUUAAGCAUAUCAAUAAGCGGAGGAAAAGAAACCAACCGGGAUUGCCUCAGUAACGGCGAGUGAAGCGGCAAGAGCUCAAAUUUGAAAGCUGGCUCCUUCGGAGUCUGCAGGGUAACACUUUUAGGAUC